rnacentral:rRNA from 1 species
UACGUAGGGUGCAAGCGUUAAUCGGAAUACUGGGCGUAAAGCGUGCGCAGGCGGUGAUGUAAGACAGGUGUGAAAUCCCCGGGCUUAACCUGGGAACUGCAUUUGUGACUGCAUGGCUAGAGUUUGGCAGAGGGGGGUAGAAUUCCACGUGUAGCAGUGAAAUGCGUAGAUAUGUGGAGGAACACCGAUGGCGAAGGCAGCCCCCUGGGUCAAGACUGACGCUCAUGCACGAAAGCGUGGGGAGC